GAUGAACGCUGGCGGCGUGCUUAACACAUGCAAGUCGAACGGAAAGGCCCAAGCUUGCUUGGGUACUCGAGUGGCGAACGGGUGAGUAACACGUGGGUGAUCUGCCCUGCACUUCGGGAUAAGCCUGGGAAACUGGGUCUAAUACCGGAUAGGACCACAUUUUGGAUGGUGUGGUGGAAAGUUUUUCGGUGUGGGAUGAGCUCGCGGCCUAUCAGCUUGUUGGUGGGGUAAUGGCCUACCAAGGCGUCGACGGGUAGCCGGCCUGAGAGGGUGUACGGCCACAUUGGGACUGAGAUACGGCCCAGACUCCUACGGGAGGCAGCAGUGGGAAUAUUGCACAAUGGGCGCAAGCCUGAUGCAGCGACGCCGCGUGGGGGAUGACGGCCUUCGGGUUGUAAACUCCUUUCGCUAGGGACGAAGCGCAAGUGACGGUACCUGGAGAAGAAGCACCGGCUAACUACG
rnacentral:rRNA from 1 species